UGCUCUUCCGAUCUGCAGGACACAGGUGUCUGCUAUCUGCAUAGCGUCUGCAUAGCCAGCCCAGCAAGAUUGGGCAGGCACAGAGACCUAUUGUUCCUCAGAUAGGGCCAAGGCCGAGACUUGAGUUCUGAAAGAAACCUCAAU